AGUGGACGCUGGCGGUAGGCCUAACACAUGCAAGUCGAACGGCAGCACAGUAAGAGCUUGCUCUUACGGGUGGCGAGUGGCGGACGGGUGAGGAAUACAUCGGAAUCUACUUUUUCGUGGGGGAUAACGUAGGGAAGCUUACGCUAAUACCGCAUACGACCUACGGGUGAAAGCAGGGGAUCUUCGGACCUUGCGCGAUUGAAUGAGCCGAUGUCGGAUUAGCUAGUUGGCGGGGUAAAGGCCCACCAAGGCGACGAUCCGUAGCUGGUCUGAGAGGAUGAUCAGCCACACUGGAACUGAGACACGGUCCAGACUCCUACGGGAGGCAGCAGUGGGGAAUAUUGGACAAUGGGCGCAAGCCUGAUCCAGCCAUACCGCGUGGGUGAAGAAGGCCUUCGGGUUGUAAAGCCCUUUUGUUGGGAAAGAAAAGCAGCAGGUUAAUACCCCGCUGUUCUGACGGUACCCAAAGAAUAAGCACCGGCUAACUUCGUG
rnacentral:rRNA from 1 species